GGGGCUGCACUGGUUUCGACGUGGGUUCGGAGUCGCAGCGGGGCAUGUCGAGCUGAAUGCGCUCGUAAAACAGAUUCAAACAAACUAACUGCAAACGACGAACGUUUCGCACUCGCUGCUUAAUUGCCAGUGAGCUUUGCAACAGCAGGCCGAUGGGCUGGGCAAGGGGGUGACAGAGCAAUCUGAAUCCUCCCGGCUGCAAAGAUAAUUACAUGGGCUGGCUUCGAUCCGGGUACCUUGGGUCGAGGCGAGAAAAUAGGGUGCUGGCGUCCGGUUUAGCGUGUGACUGCGCGACUCCGGAAGCGAGACUCAAAUCAGAUCACUAAACAUGUAGAACUGCGCGAUGAAGGCUUGCGGACGGGGGUUCAAAUCCCCCCAGCUCCACCA
rnacentral:tmRNA from 1 species